rnacentral:lncRNA from 1 species
AUUGUGUCCAUCUACAACUAAAAUAAAAUUUUUUUAAAUAAAAUUCCAUCUUCCAAUAUACAAUGGCACAGACUAAACAUUCCCAUUCUAAAAGUGAGGAAUAGGGGUAUGAAAAGAAGGGAUUUUUUCCAACACAAAUGUAAUCCAGCAAAUCCGUAGAUCCAUGUUUAGAUCCAUGACACAAGAUGGCAGGCAUGAGGUGGCUCCAAAGGACUAUAGCAGCCCACCCCUAUGGCCAUGUUGGCUAUCCCACAUGACUUCUCUCUUGGGCUAGCUCCACUUUCUGCCUGUAACUUUCCUCUGCAGGCAUUCCAUAUUCCUGGCAUCCCUAACUUCUUGGAGUCUUCAUUGCAUCAUUGUCAGCACUUUCAAAGCUUCACACAUUGCUCUCUCAAGGGCUGCAGGGAUUUCUGACCCUGAAACACAUUGCUUGGCCUCUCAGACCCUCCUUUGAAAUCUUGGUGGAAGACACCAUGACUCCCAAAUCUCAAUAAUUUGCAUUCCUACAAAACCAGCACCGGAAUAAAAUAGACAUUAUUAUUGCUGUGGGUAUAUACGUGACUGCAUGACCAAUGUAAUUCUGCAGACUGUACACUCAGAAAAAUGAGAAAUUAUAUCCCAUCUGAUUCAAAUGUAUGAUAUAUCAAGAUCAUUGUACUGUCAUGUGUAACUAAUUAAAAAUUUUAAAAAAGAAAUACAAAAACCCAGCACCAUGUGAACAAUGCCAAGGUAUCCCACCAACUCAUGAAGUAGCCAGGCCCCAUCAGAUGAUGGCUGCAGCAGCCUCUGAAUACCUGCAGGGCUUAGCAUUGUGAAACAAAUUCUGCAGAAGCAGCUUUCUAGUCUGUCCUGUGUGAGCAGGGCUUCCUAGUGCUCUCUUCUCAAAGGGAUGUCUUUAAAGUGAACUUUCACUUUUACUUCUUUAAGAUUGUGAUGGGUGGAGUCUUGCUGAUUCCUGAGAUGCCCUCAAGGCAUUUCUUCUUUGCAGUCUCUUUGCAGAGUACUUGGUUUCUCUUUAAUGGUGCUAAUCUUCUCAGGGCCACAUCUUUAUUGGCCUGUUUCACAUUUGCUUUUUUUUUUUUUUUGUCCAAACUGUUAAGUUUUUCAGUUUUUUUCUGCUCUGCUUUUUGCUUGUGGUUAUCAUAGAAAUCCUGACUAAAAGCUGCCAGCAAUAAUCAUGCCACUGCCCAAAUGCUGUGGUGCCUUGAAAUUUUCUCCACUAGAAUAAUUAUUCUGUCACCUUUCAAUUCAGUCUCACACAAAGUCUCAGGGCAUGGAUAAAAUGUAAAAAAGUUCUUUGCCAGAAAGUGGCAUAUAUGGCCUCUAUAGCAAUUCCCAAUAGAAUGCUCAUUCCCAUCUAAAACCUUAUAAGCAUGGUCUUUACUGUCUUUAUUCCUUUUGGCACUAUGGUCUUCUGAAAUUACAUCAGAAUUGUCCAGUAAGCUCUGUUUACAACAUGUUAAGUCUUCCCUAUCCUGCACCUCAAAUCUUUUCCAAACUCCUCCCACACACUAGUUCCAUAUGCUUCUGAACCACAUUGUCAGGUAUAAUCACAGCAACAACCCCAUUUCCUGGUACUAAUUUCCUGUGUUAGUUAGCUCUUUGCCACUGUGGCAAAAAUAUUUGACACAGCUUCAAGGAAGAAAGGUUUAUUUUGACUUACAGUUACAGAGGCAGAAUAUUUGGUUUCCCAAAUGGUACUAUUGAAAAACCAGCCUCUACCUCAGAGCAAAGCCUGUCCAAGGAAGGGACAUGACCUUUGUCCUUGGAAAGACCCACAGAGCACUCCUAGGCACAUUCCCACCCUGUUAAGUUGUUUAUCUAUGAAUAACAGGAGAGAUCUGCAGCGCCAGGUGUCCCUGACUCAGGCUAGGUGGAGACCCAUAGUAACCCCCUAGCAGCCACCAAUCAGCAUGAGACAGGGAAAUACCUGGGAUGCCAAAUGACCCUCCCAGUAGUUUAUGGUGGUUGAUAACGUGUUGGGAAACCAUGUAAUUCAGCAUGAACACCCCUGUUGGCUUAACCAAUCAGUUCAAAUGAAUCCCCCUUUUGUAGUAACCAAUCACCCCUACCCAACAUGUUCCCGCCAGUGAAUGUGCUAAUCAUGUUUUAGAGUUGUUAUUUGAUUUUCCCACGGUGGGUGAUGAUUUGCUAAGAGAUGCUAUGAUGUAUGUGGGGUUCCCUGCCUUCUCCAAAGAAUGUAUAAAACUGCUGCAAACCCUGGGCUCGGGGCCUCUCAGCGUCACCAGUUGCUGUGUGUGCACGCGGAGGACCAAGCUAGCUCUCAAUAAACACCUCUUUGCUGUUUAC